GCAGAGGUUACAUGGCUCCUGAGUAUGCAAUGAGAGGUUACUUAACAGACAAAGCAGAUGUUUACAGUUUCGGUGUUGUCUGCUUAGAGAUUGUUAGCGGAAAGAGCAACACAAACUACAGACCAAAAGAAGAGUUUGUUUACCUUCUUGAUUGGGCAUAUGUCUUGCAAGAACAGGGGAGUCUUCUAGAACUCGUGGAUCCAGAUCUCGGUACAAGCUUUUCGAAGAAAGAAGCAAUGAGGAUGUUGAACAUAGCUUUACUAUGCACAAACCCAUCACCAACAUUGAGACCACCAAUGUCAUCUGUUGUAAAAAUGCUAGAAGGAAAAAUCAAAGUCCAACCACCACUGGUGAAACGUGAAGCAGACCCAAGUGGUUCGGCUGCAAUGAGGUUUAAGGCCUUUGAGCUUUUGUCACAAGACAGCGAGUCGUCACAGGUCUCAACAUAUGCAAGAAACGGUCAACAACACAUAAGCUCCUCGUCGAUGGACGGUCCUUGGGUUGAUUCUUCCUUCUCUGAGCCUAGCAAAGAUGCUGUUAACCAACAACAGCAAGAAGAAGCACGUUCAUCGUCUUCGUCGAGGAAACUUUUAGAUGAUCUCACCGAUGUGAAGAUUGAGUAAUGAAUAAAAAUGUAAAUCAUUAAAGAUUCUUUUAUUCAAUUUACGGAUCAGCAACAAUAUUCCAUCCAGUAAGAAAUUAUUUUCAGGUUUUGUUAUUACCGCUGUAAGUUUUCUUUGGUUUGAUGAGUUUGAUUUAUUAUGUUGUAGUGUAAUUAUGAGUUAAAUAAGCUGAGUUAUUUAUGAGUUAAGUAAGAGCAUCUCCAACCAUAGUUGUUUAAUAUGAAGUGCUUAUCACUAAAAUUAUACAAAUAUUGUUAUUUAAUUUGAUGGGUUGCUUAAAUAGUGAAAAAACAUUUCAAAAGUUCCUUAAAUCUCAUGUUUAAGCACUUUUGAAGGUAGAUUUUAUACUAUAUAAGCAACUCACAUAAUUUUUUUUUAAUAUUUUUUCUCUCUCUAAGAUAAGCAACUUAUGAUAACAACUCUUCAAUGGAGAUGGUCUAAGGGUUAUUUAUGAGUUAAGUAAGCUGUUUAGCGGAUCACAAUUAUCUAUAGAUAAAUAAGUGUCUAAAUGAUUUAUACAUUUUUAGCGGUUUUUGAAAAAUGUUAAGAUAGAUGCCAAAAAAAAAACACUAAACCUAAAAGAUUUCACAAAAUUUAGAAUAAAUUUAAAAUAGAGUAAUAUGUAAAUGUAAAAAAACAAAAAAAAAAUCUUAUUCGUUAUGUUUUCUAAUUUUAACGUUGAAGAGUUGUCAAAUUAAGACUCUUAACAAGCUCCUUUCAAUGCAAGCAAACACGACAAAGUAUGGCGAUGGAUUACAAUUUUGGUUAGCUACGGGUAGCUAAUUACCUCCUCUUUUCUUUCGGAAAUUUAUUUGUUGCUCUUUAAAUUUGCUCUGAUAUAAAAACUUUUUUUGUUUUGAAUAUAUUUUCACAUUCAUUCAAAAAAAAAAAAAAAAAAAAAUUAAGACUCUUAAUGAUGUUGUGUUUGCAAGAAAAGAAUUUACACAUUCAAAUAUAAAUUUGACCACAAAAAAUAACGUAACAUAAUAUUAAUAUCAUAAGUAUAUAAAUAAGAGGAAAUCAUAAAAUUUAUCGACACAUAUUUUUAUUUUUGUAUUUUUGUUGUAUUUUAGUGAUUUAAUUAAAACAUAGAUAAAACGAAGAAGACUAGAAAGAUGUCAAUGAAUACCCACAAAUAUUCCUAAUAAUUAUUCAGAUCCGAUGGCUAAAAUAUUAUUUUAUCCAUUUUAUACACUUUAAAAAGCUGCUUUCUUCUUCUUCUUUCUCUCUCAAUCACUUUGGUCUCUUUUUUUUUUUUCCCGAGAGAGAGAGAGAAAAAAGAAAUGGGAUUGUUAAUGUCGGGAGAGAAAGUGAAGUAUGCUCUUCUCUUCAUCUUCAUCAUCUGCUUCGAUAUUUUCUUCGCAUCAAAUGCUCAAUUUUUGCCAGACGAUGAAGGUCCUUUCUCUAUCUUACUCUUUUUCUUUUCUUUUUUUGGGGUUUACUCUUUCUAUUACAUAUUUACAUUUCCAGUUACAAGAUUUCUUCACUGACUCGCCGAUUCGACUUUAUUUUUCGAUGAAUUGUAUAAUUAUAAUUGGAUUGUUGCUUUAUAUAGAAAAAAGAGUGUCAAAUUAUUGGAUUCUUGCUUUAAAUACAUUUAUAAAAAUUAUCCUUUUUUUUUUUAAGUUAUCGAGUAAAACUAUAUUGUUGUUUAUUAAAUAUAUAUAUAUUUGCUGUUGAUGUUGGUCGUCAAUGGAUUUAUAAUUGUAUGGUAGUAUUUAUUUGGUCGUCGUGAAUCAUGGUAGUCUUUUUUUUUAUAUUUAAAACACAUCUGAAUCAAAUAGUUUAUAUUUUUAUAACGAUCCAUGAGUUAGAAAUAAAAUAAAAUGAACCAUAGAGUUAUCUAUAUUCUAUUAUUUUUUGUUUCCCUAUAUUCUAUUAUUGGUCAAUUUGUAAAUGCGUGACUAAUUUUUAUUUUAUUUUGUAAUAAAAUUCUACGGUGACAAAAAUAAUAAUAUGUGCAAGUUGGGUUGAUGAGAGAGAGACGUUGCGAAAAUCUCUGUGAAUGAGAUAUUUUAUAGUACAGUUAUUUAUAUCUCAUUCUCUUUUAUUUUAUUUAUAUAAAAAGCUUGGAUUGGCUUUAAAUCUUAGCCGUCAAAUGUAUUGUCAAUUUUUUUGAAACAGUUCAAACAUUGCGAACCAUCUUUAGAAAGCUUCAGCACCAAACAGUGCACGUCGAGAAGACUUCUUGUUCCGACGGGAAAUGGAACUUUACUACCGACUCAUCCCCCAAAGCAACCAGUAACAUCGCCUGCGACUGUACCUUCAACGCCAGUUCUGUCUGUCGUGUCACUUCCAUGUAUAUGUUUAUCCAUAUGUCAUCUCCCUAACUUUCCAAGCAAGAAACAGAUUUAGGGUUCUGAAAAAUAUAUAUUUUUUUUUCUUAUCAUUUUCAUCAACAGACAGCUUAGAGGUUUCAAUUUGCGAGGAAUUAUCCCGCCAGAAUUCGGGAACCUCACGCGUCUUAGAGAGAUGUACGAACCUCAGAUCUUUGUUUCUUGAUUUUACUGUCACUGACUCAAUGGAUCAUAGCUAAAAUGUCCGACGGCUUAUUGGGGCUUAAGCACUCUUUGUUCUUGGAUUUUCUUCUUCUUACAGAGAUCUUGUGCUGAACUUUCUCAGUGGAACAAUACCUAAGACAUUGUCUCGAAUUCCACUUGAAAUCUUGUAACCGUUCUCUCCAAUUCAUAUAUCUUUUUCUUGUGAUGAUCGAUUAGUUGUACUGAUUCUUGCCUUUUUGUUUUCUGCAACUAACAGGGCUGUAACCGGAAACCGUCUCUCCGGACCAUUUCCUCCUAGUAUCGUAGAUAUUACCACACUUACUCAACUGUAAUAUUUACAUAUCUGAUAUUCUUUUCUUCUAAUCAGAAUUUAUAGGAGACUCUAAUAUGGAAAAUAAAAUAAUUGCAGGCAUUUGGAAACUAAUUUGUUCACAGGAACACUUCCUUCAAACCUAGGGAACUUAAAAAGCUUGAGUAGAUUGUAAGAUCCUUUAUUAUAUAUACUUUUUCUUCUUCUUAUGUAUAUGUAUUAUUAUUGUAGUUUUACUUAGUGAUUUGGUAUAUUUAUGAUUACAGAUUAAUCUCUUCAAACAAUUUCACGGGUCGGAUCCCUGAGUCCUUGAGCAGCCUCAAGAACUUGACUGAUUUGUAAGUAUCAAGAAGUACAGUGGGAUUUCGAAAAUGUUGGAAUGAUUCUAAAAUUUUCAUCUGUUUCUUGCAGUCGGAUUGAUGGAAACUCUCUAUCAGGGAAGAUACCUGAUUUUAUUGGAAACUGGACUCAGCUCACUAGGCUGUGAGUAACCAUCAUUUAAAUUUUCAGCUUACUGUAAAAUUUUUAGUAAGACUGAAUUGUUUAAUCUGCAGAGACCUCGAAGGCACAUCAAUGGAAGGUCCAAUUCCAGCUUCAAUAUCAAACUUGAAGAACUUGACUGAAUUGUAAGUAAGCAAAGAGUUUCACAAUACCUUUUGAGCUUAGUCAUAAAGCUCUCUCUCCUUUAUCAGGAGGAUAACCGAUUUGCAUGGACCGACAUCUUCUUUUCCAGACCUGAAAAAUAUGACGAAUAUGCAACGACUGUAAGUGUUAAUAACUUUGACUUUACUCAUGUUAUAAACUCUGUUUCAUCAAACAACAUUUACAUAUCUUCUUUGCUUAUUAACUUUUCAUAGGGUACUAAGAAACUGUUUGAUAAAGGGACUUAUUCCUGAAUACAUUGGUACCUCCAUGAGUAAGCAGCUGAAGUUACUGUAAGUCAAAACUCACGUGCUACUUUUACAGCUUAAAGACUAAUAAUUUGAUCAAAGAUCUCACAUUGAAGUAUUUGUGUGUGUGCAGAGAUUUAAGCUCAAACAUGCUAACUGGUGUAAUUCCAGACACAUUUCGGAAUCUUGAGGCAUUUAACUUUAUGUAAGUUUCAAAUUUAUCAACAUGGAUGAUAUAAAUCUUACUUAAACUGUUUGUUAAUUAACCUUUGCUGCUUUAGGUAUCUGAAUAAUAACUCAUUGACUGGUCCAGUUCCUCAGUUCAUUCUGGAUAGUAAACAAAACAUGUAAGCAAACUAACUAACUACCUCGAAGUCCAAAAUUCAGAAUACAUCUGCAUCGAUCAACGUCCUUAAUUUCUUGAUCUGUUUUCAGUGAUCUAUCUUACAACAAUUUCACUCAGCCACCUACUGUAAGCUGUAAUCAGCUUGAUGUGUAAGCGUCUUUGUUAUUUGACAUCAGUAAUUUUCAGCUUCAUAUCGUUUAUAUGUUUUUCUCAUAAGCAUUAUUGGUUAAUAUUUUCAGGAACUUGAUCUCCAGCUACCCAUCAGCAACCAAUAACUCGUGAGUCUUCUUUCUCCCCUCUUUUUGGUUCAUAUAAAACCCGUAAACCAAAGAUACUUACCGCAAAGUACCACCUACUUGUGUAGUGUGCAAUGGUGCUUGAGGAAGGAUCUUCCAUGUCCUAAAGACGCAGAACGUAAGUUGUAAAUUCCAACUUUCAAGAUUUAAACUUUUUCUAGAAGAAAAAAAUGACCUGAAAAAGUUUCUCGCAGAUUCUUCCUUGUUCAUCAACUGUGGAGGUAACAAACUCAAGGUUGGUAAACACAUGUAUGCGGAUGACUUAAACAAGAGAGGAGCAUCAACAUUCUCUUCUGACUCUGAAAGAUGGGGAUACAGUAGUUCUGGAGCUUGGUUAGGCAAUGACGGUGCUCUCUACUUAGCAACAGACACAUUUAACUUGAUCAAUGAAUCAAGUCCAGAGUAUUACAAAACUGCCCGUCUUGCUUCACAAUCACUCAAGUACUAUGGACUCUGCAUGAUAAGUGGAAGUUACAAAGUGCAGCUCCAUUUUGCAGAGAUUACGUUCUCAAAUGACCAGACUUAUAGUAGCUUAGGGCGGCGAAUAUUCGACAUUUAUGUCCAAGUGAGUUUUGCAGAACAAAGAAGAAAUCAUUUUUUCCCAAAAUAAAGUUUCAGUUUCAGAAUUAAAAAUAGUAUUAUCUUGUGCAGGGGAAUUUGUUGGAGAGGGACUUUAACAUAGCAGAGAGAGCAGGUGGAGUUGGUAAACCGUUCAUAAGGCAAAUUGAUGAUGUUCAAGUGAAUGGAAGUACGUUGGAGAUCCACUUGAAGUGGUUAGGGAAAGGCACAAACGUAAUACCAACAAGAGGUGUUUACGGGCCUCUCAUUUCCGCCAUAACCAUUACACCAAGUGCGUUUUGUUUUCUUUCCAAUCUUUCUCAACUGUUUAAAAUAAUUCUGGAGUGAGUAAAUGAAUGAAUGUUCUUUCUCUAUUUUAUUGCUUGCUGUUUGUAGAUUUCAAGGUUGAUACCGGAAAAGAAUUAUCCAAUGGAGCAGUUGCAGGCAUUGUAAUUGCAGCGUGUGCGGCUUUCGGGUUGCUGGUACUUCUAAUCCUCAGGCUUACAGGUCACUUAGGUGGAAAAGAAGUGGAUGAAAAUGGUAAGAAAUAAAACAUCGUUCUAUUGUUCAAGAAAUGCUCUUGUCAUUUUCAAGAUCUUAUUGUUUCUUUCGAAUCUUACUAAUUUGUUAUAUCAGAGGAGCUUCGGGGACUUGAUUUGCAGACUGGAUCGUUCACAUUGAAACAAAUCAGACGGGCUACCAAUAACUUUGAUCCAGAAAACAAGAUUGGUGAAGGAGGUUUUGGACCGGUUUAUAAGGUGAUGAUUGCUUUGGUUUUGCAUCUUCACAAAGUUCUUUGAGUUUGGAUUAUAAGUAGUAUAAGUAUUAAUGUGAUUUGGUUUUUAGGGUGUUCUCGCUGAUGGAAUGACCAUAGCUGUGAAGCAGCUUUCAUCAAAAUCUAAGCAAGGAAACAGAGAAUUUGUGACUGAGAUCGGGAUGAUCUCUGCGUUGCAACACCCAAAUCUUGUGAAACUAUAUGGUUGUUGCAUUGAAGGGAAAGAGCUUUUGCUUGUGUACGAGUACUUAGAGAACAACAGUCUCGCUCGCGCUCUCUUUGGUUAGUUUUUUAAUCCAUCUGGAUAGAUAGUUUAAUGUUCCUGAUCUUAAGCUAAAGUCUCUUGUGGGUUUUUUUAAUAGGCACCGAGAAACAGAAACUUCACUUGGACUGGUCAACAAGGAACAAAAUAUGCUUAGGUAUUGCCAAAGGAUUGGCUUAUCUACACGAGGAAUCAAGGCUGAAGAUUGUUCAUAGAGACAUAAAAGCUACGAAUGUUCUUCUUGACCUGUCUUUAAAUGCUAAGAUCUCUGAUUUUGGUCUAGCUAAACUCGACGAAGAAGAGAAUACACAUAUCAGCACAAGAAUUGCAGGAACAAUGUGAGUGCUCAUUACUUAUAUUUUCUAAAAUUUAUAGCGACCAGUUAACACUUGACGUAUCUAUAUUUUUCACUUGAUGCAGAGGUUACAUGGCUCCUGAGUAUGCAAUGAGAGGUUACUUAACAGACAAAGCAGAUGUUUACAGCUUCGGUGUUGUCUGUUUAGAGAUUGUUAGCGGGAAGAGCAACACAAAUUACAGACCAAAAGAAGAGUUUAUUUACCUUCUUGAUUGGGCGUAUGUCUUGCAAGAACAAGGGAGUCUCCUAGAACUCGUGGAUCCAGAUCUCGGUACAAGCUUUUCGAAGAAAGAAGCGAUGAGGAUGUUGAACAUAGCUUUACUAUGUACAAACCCAUCACCAACAUUGAGACCACCAAUGUCAUCUGUUGUAAGAAUGCUAGAAGGAAAAAUCAAAGUUCAACCACCACUGGUGAAACGUGAAGCAGAUCCAAGUGGUUCAGCUGCAAUGAGAUUUAAGGCCUUUGAGCUUUUGUCACAAGACAGCGAGUCGUCACAAGUCUCGACCUAUACAAGAAACAGAGAACACAGGAGCUCUUCGUCAAUGGACGGUCCUUGGGUCGAUUCUUCCGUCUCAGAGCCUAGCAAAGAUGUUAUUAACCAACAACAGCAAGAAGAAGGACGUUCAUCGUCUUCGUCGACGAAACUUUUAGAUGAUCUUACCGAUGUGAAGAUUGAGUAAUGAAAUAAUUGUAAAUCAUUAAGAUUCUUUUAUUCAAUUUACGGAAACAACAAUAUAUACCAACAUACUAUUAAUACUAGAUUUUAAUCCGCGUUACACCGCGGGACGACAUUCUAAAAUGUAUUCUUUUUAUUAUUUUUGUUUGGUAUAUAAGAGUAUACUACUAUAUUUUGAUUGUUAAUUUUAUGAUUUAAUCCGUAGAAUAUUAUAUAAUUAUUGAUUUUUUAUAUAAUCGUAAUUUGAUUAAAUUAAUUAAAUAAGUAUAAUAUUUAAAAUAAUGAAAUGAUACUGACAUAAUAUUCGUUUACAUAAUAUAAUUUCAGAUUUAAAUAUUUUUGUGAGUUAUACUAUAGUAGACAACUCGUAAAAAUAUCUAUAAUCAUAAUUAUGUAAAUUAUAACUCGUUCCAUCACAUGACCCGUGCUACACAAUUAUCAAUAAUACUUUAGGUUAUACAUUUUUGUAUCGUUUGAGUAAUAUACAUCCGUUUCUAAAAAUUCAAAUUACAACAUAUGCAAAAAAACUAUAUUUUUAUCAUACAUAUGUUAUAUGUAAGAAUAAAAAAUUUAAAAACAAAUAAUACAUUUUAAGAUAUUUAAGAAAUUUUCAGUUUAUUAGGGAGAUAUUUUAGGAAAUUUUAUUAAAUAUAAUAAAUAUUAAUUUCCAAUUUUGUAAUUUUAUUAUGAUUUAAUUACAAAAUUUACUCUAAACUUUUGUUAUUUAAUUAAAUGGCCUUGGUUUAAUUAUGUAAAUAUUACAAAAUAAAAGGGUAUAACACAAAAGGUACUUUAAAAAUGUUAAUAUAGAUUAAUCAAAAAUUUCUUCCCUUAAAAAAAAAAAACUUUUCUUUUUAGUUUUUUUUUUUUUUCUGGUACAAAUCUCUUUUUAGUUUUUACUUGCUUUUCUUAAUCCAUCCGGAAAUAAAAUCUUUUCAGAUAUGUUUGUUUUUCCAUUUUGCAUCUCCAUUUAGAUGAAUUUGAUUUACUAUUUACAGUUUAGUACGUGUUUAAGAAAGAGUUAUGCGUUAGGCGAUACGCGAUAAGCAACAAUUUCUCUCUAUAUCUAAAAUAAUAAAUGGAGGCCUACAUAAGUUUGUUCAUUUUUAGCGGUUUUCGAGUACUAUAUUAUAUAUCUAAACAAUAUACAAUAAUGAAAAUAAAUUUGACAAAAAGGAAUAUAAAAUAAGAAAUAAAAUUUUAAGAAAAAAAUAAUAAAAAAAAUUUUAAGAAAAAAAGUUUACUAAAUAAAAAAAAAACUGAAAAUUUUCACACUUUUAAAAUAAAAUGAAAUGAAAAUGUAAAAGAAAAAAGUAUAAUUGUUUCUAGACACAAUUUUGGAAUCAAUUUUUUCUUACAAAAUUAAAAAAUUGCCUUGCCAUAGGAAAAAAUAGAAACUAAAAACGUAGAAAGCAAAUGAGAGUGAUCUUUAAUUAAUGAUACUCCCUCUAUUUCACUAUAAGUGAUGUUUAAGGUUUUGACACACUAAAUAAUAAAAAAAUAUAACUUACCCAUUUUUUUUUAUUUUUUUUUUGACAUCAUUACAAAUAAUAAAUCUUUCUUUGAGAGGGACCGGGCUCGAACCCGGAUCUGAUGAGAAGGCAAACAGAGAUGAGAACCACUAGCCCACUUCCUCCUUCUCACUUACCCAUUUUCUAUAAAAACAUCAUUAACUAAUAUGAAUUCAACCAAUAAGAAAAUAUGAUGUAAACUAUAAUUGGUCAAAAAAUAUUAAAUACAUUAAAUUUUUGCAUAGGAAAUUGAAAACAUCACUUAUACUGAAACAACAACAAUUGGCUAAAACAUCACUUAUAAUGCGUUCUUUGUUUAUCUGAUGAUAUCAAUAUUAAUAGGGAAGAAUUCUCAAUUUUUUUGUUAUCUUUUAUUCCAAGAAAUUUAAGUGUAAAAAGAUACUUCAACACACGUAAAACUCAUUCCAGAUUGCAUCUUAUCAAAUAUGUAAACAGUUGUUCUUUCAAUUAGCUCUUUUAAGUUGCUCUUAGUUUGUUGACGAUAAAAUAAAAAACUUACAUAUACUUUGUUACUCUCUCCACGACUCAAAACUCUUGAUCUUUGUGUAUAUAUUUUAUUCGUUUUAUGUCUUCUAAUUUUAACGUUGAAGAAGAGUUGUCGAAAAAACUAUACAUACCAUACAAAUGAGAUAAUUUCAGACUCGUAACAUAUUCGUUGUGAUUGAAAAAAAAAAAAAAAAAGGUACACGUUCAAAUAUUAUUAGGGAAACUAUAAUGUAGGGGUUCAGAUAAAAAAAAAAUUUAAUAUCUAUCCUCAAUAAUUUGUUAUUUAUCUCUCUUUUUUGCGUACGUUUUUGUCCCUAGCUCUAUGGUAUCUAAGAGAAACAAAAAUGCAGGGGUUCUGUCUCUAGGUCUAGGUCUUUGUUAUCUAAGGAAAACUAUAUUUACGUAUUUGUAUAAAAUAUUUAUACUACCAGUUUAUAUAAAUACUUAAUUUAACGGAUAAUAUGUAAUUUACGCGAUACAAUAUUAUUUAACAUGUUUAAAAAAAAGUUAUCGAAUGCUUUUAAUCACUGAUGAACAGUGUUAUCGAAUUCAUGAAAAUAUAUAUAUCGGUUUGAGUUUAUAAAACAGUGGUUAGGCUUUAGAUUUUAUAAAAAAACAAAAAUGUAUUUUUAUUUGUGUUUAUAAAAUAGUGGUUGGGUUUAGAUUUUGUAAUAAAACGACAUUAUAUUUUGGUUUGGGUUGACAAAAUAGUUGUAAUGGUUUAGUUUUUGUAAAUUAAACGAAAUUAUAUUUUGGUUUGGGUUGACAAAAUAGUGGUUAGGGUUUAUAUUUUAUAAUAAAAUCAAAUUAUAUUUCAGUUUGGGUUGACAAAAUAGUGAUUAGGGUUUAGAUUUUGUAAUUAAACAAAAUUAUAUUUUGCUCUGGGUAUAAAAUAGUGGCUAGGGUUUAGAGUUUAUAAUUAGUCGAAAUUAUAUUUUGGUUUGGGUUGAUAAAAUAGUGGUUAGGGUUAGAUUUUGUAAUUAAACGAAAUUAUAUUUUGUUUUGGGUUGAUAAAAUAGUGGUUAGAGUUUAGAGUUUAUAAUUAGUCGAAAUGAUAUUUUGGUUUGGAUCGAUAAAAUAGUGGUUAUGUUAUUACUAAUCAACAUAUAACCCGUUCGUUAUCUGAUAACAUCCACACAUGAUAAUAUCUGAUAACAUCCACACAUGAUGCUUCGUUAUCAACAUAUAUUUGAUAACAACCUAGUUAUCUGAUAACAACCUAGUUAUCUGAUAACAAUCCGGUAACAAUCUAUAUAUGCAACCUAGUUAUCCGAUAACAAUAUAUAUAUAUAUAUUGCAUUAUCAUUUCGUUGACAUAAAUCACUUUUCUCCAACUUAGUGUAGAGAAUUGCACCGAGAAUAAACAUUAAAUGCUAUCAGAACCAAAAAGAAAUAAUUAUUAUUUUUUAAAUUGAUAUAGGGACAGCCACGUAAUUUUUCCCCUCUCUCAUUGAAAAAAUUAAUUUUUAUCUUAUCAACUCAUUCUUUUUAGUUUUUGGUCUAUUUGUGCACUUACUUUUAACAAGCCCAUAUUAUUAACCACGAAACAUACUAUUAUUAGUAUAGAUAACUAAAGAGGAGAUCAUCAAAUUUAGCCGACACUUUUUUGUGUCCCUUGUUUUUAUUGAGUUAUAACAUAAACGACCCUAGAAAAGAGAGGUCAAUGAACAAGAACAACCCUACAAAAGUUAUUAGGUACACCGGUGGCUAAAAUAUUAAAAAGAAUAAAUAUGCAUUUUAGAAUUAUUAUUAUGUGAACACUAAAAAGGCUGCUCUCUUCUUCUUCUUCUUACUCAAUCUCUUUGAGAAAUUAAAAAUGGGUUUGUUAAUCUCUGGAGAGAAAGUACUCAAGUAUGCUCUUCUCCUCUUCUUCAUCUGCUUUGAUAUUUUCUUCGCAUCCAAUGCUCAGAUUUUGCCAGACGAUGAAGGUCCAUAUUUCUAUCUUUUUAUCUAUCUUACUCUUCCUAAUACAUAUUUACAUUUCCCGUUAUAUUUUCUUCACUUCCAGUUUUGAGUCGCCGAUUCAACUAAUUUAUCUUUCAUGAAAUCUAUUAUUGGAUUAUCUUUUAUUUCAAGACAUCCUUUGUUACAAAACAAAACAAAGAUAUUGUUGUUGUAUUUUAGUAGAAAUAUAUAUAUUUGUUGUUGAUAUAUAUAUAUAUAUAUUUUUUUUGUCAACAUUUGUUGUUGAUAUUGGUCGUCAUGAAUCAUGGUUUAUAAAAUAAAAUAAAUUUAUCACAAGAUUCAUAAAGUUAUCUAUAUUCUAUUGUAUGUCAAUUUGUAAAUGCGUGACUAAAUUUUAAGGUUUUCUUCUAAUAUAUCUUACACAAUUGUAAAUUCUAAAAACAAAACCUAAAUACACUUAUUUUUAACAAAAAAAAAAUGUAUCAUACACAAUUUUUUCCAAGAUGUGUAUUAUUAAAUAAUUGUGCUUCAUAAAAAAAAAAUGUACUUCAUGGGUUUGUCCCAAAAAAAAAAGAAAAUUAAUAUGUGCAAGUUGGGUUGAUGCAAGAGAGACGUUAAUUGAUGACAAAAAAUAAAAAUAAAAAUAAAAAAAAGAGAGAGUCGUUAAUAGGAUCUUGAGAUUGAGAUAUCAUAUACCUUAUCUCAUUCCCUUUUCUUUGAUUUAUACAAAAAGCUUGGACUGGCUUUAAAUCUUAACCGUCAAAUGUUUUGACAAUUUUGUAAACAGUUCAAACAUUGCGAACCAUCUUUAGAAAGCUUCAGCACCAAACAGUGAACGCCGAGAAGACUUCUUGUUCCGACGGGAAAUGGAACUUUACUACCGACUCAUCCCCCAAAGCAACCAGUAACAUCGCCUGCGACUGUACCUUCAACGCCAGUUCUGUCUGUCGUGUCACUUCCAUGUAUGGUGCCCAUUACAUAGUAAAUAAAACUUUUUAUUUCCGUUAACUUUCAUAACAAGAAACAGGGUUAGGGUUCUGAAAACAGUUUUUUUUUUUUUGAUUUUCAUCUACAGAGUGCUUAUAGGUCUCAAUUUGCGAGGAACUAUCCCGCCAGAAUUCGGGAACCUCAGGCAUCUUAGAGAGAUGUACAAACCUCAGAUCUUUGUUUCUUGAUUUUACCUUAGAAUAAUGGAUCAUAGCAAAAUAUCUGAGGGACUCUUGGGUCUUAAGCCAUCUUUGCUCUUGGUUUUUUUUUUUUCCUUCUUCCAGAGAUCUUAUGCUGAACUUUCUCAGUGGAACAAUACCUACGACAUUGUCUCGAAUUCCACUUGAAUUCUUGUAAUCAUUCUAUCCAAUUCAAUUCAAAUAUCUUUUUCUUGUGAUGAUCGAUAAAAGUUGUACUGAUUCUUGCGUUUUUGUUUUCUGCAACUGACAGGGCUGUAACCGGAAACCGUCUCUCCGGACCAUUUCCUCCUAGUAUCGUAGAUAUUACCACACUUACUGAACUGUAAUAUUUACAUAUCUGAUAUUCUUUUCUUCUAACCAGAAACUGACGAGACUCUAAUAUGGAUGACAAAAAAAAACUGCAGGGAAUUGGAAACUAAUUUGUUCACAGGACCACUUCCUUCAAACCUAGGAAACUUGAGAAGCUUGAAAAGAUUGUGAGAUCCUUUAUUAUACAUUUUGUUUUCUUCUUCUUCUUAUAUAUUGUCAUUUUAGUUGUACUUAGUGAUUUGGUCUAUUUAUGAUUACAGACUAAUCUCUUCAAACAACUUCACGGGUCGGAUCCCUGAGUCCUGGAGCAAUCUCAAGAACUUGAGUGAUUUGUAAGUAUAAAUAAGUACAGUGAAAUUUCAAAAAUGUUGGAAUGACUUUAAAAGUUUUUCCAAUGUUUUUUGCAGUCGGAUUGAUGGAAACUCUCUAUCAGGGAAGAUACCUGAUUUUAUUGGAAACUGGACUCAGCUCACUAGGCUGUGAGUAACCAUUAUUUCUUGGAUUUAAUCUUCUAAAGAACACUAUGAGAUUUGUAGUGACUAAAAUGUAUAAUCUGCAGAGACAUUCAAGGCACAUCAAUGGAAGGUCCAAUUCCAGCUUCAAUAUCAAACUUGAAGAGCUUGACUGAAUUGUAAGUAAGCAAAGAGUUUCACAAUACCUUUUUUCUGCAUGCUUGUCAAAACUUUUGAGCUUAGUCAUAAAGCUCUCUCUCCUUUAUCAGGAGGAUAACCGAUUUGCAUGGACCGACAUCUUCUUUUCCAGACCUGAAAAAUAUGACGAAUAUGACACGAUUGUAAGUGUUCAACUUUGGCUCAACUCAAGUUAUAAACUCUGUUUCAUCAAACAACAUUUACAUAUCUUCUUUGCUUAUUAACUUCAUCAGGGUACUAAGAAACUGUUUGAUAUGGGGAACUAUUCCCGAAUACAUUGGUAGCUCCAUGAGUAAUCUGAAGUUACUGUAAGUCAAAUUCUCUUGCUGGUUCUACAGCUUAUAGGCUAAUAAUUUGAUCCAAUUUCUCACAAUAAAGUAUGUGUGUGUGUGUGCGCAGAGAUUUAAGCUCAAAUAUGAUAAACGGUACAAUUCCAGACACUUUUCGGAAUCUUAAGCAAUUUAACUUUAUGUAAGUUUCAUGUAUAAAUUGAAUACAUUGGUAGCUCCAUGUAUAAAUCUUACUCCAAACACUGAUUUUUAAUUAACCUUUGCUGCUAUAGGUAUCUGAAUGAUAACUCAUUGACUGGUCCAGUUCCUCAGUUCAUUCUUGAUAGUAAACAAAGCAUGUAAGCAAACUAACAAACUAUCACGAGGUUGAAAAUUCCGUUAAUCAUCUGCGCUUAUCGGGUCUUUAAUUUCGUGAUUUGUUUUCAGUGAUCUGUCUUACAACAAUUUCACUCAGCCACAUAUUUUAAGCUGUAAUCAGCUUGAUGUGUAAGCAUUGAUGUUGUUUUUAUAUCCGUGAUUUUUCAACUUAACUUUGUCUAUAUGUUUUUCUAAUCAGCAUCAUUGGUUAAUAAUUUUCAGGAACUUGAUCUCCAGUUACCCGUCAGCUACCAAUAACUCGUGAGUCUUCUUUCUCCACUCUUUCCGGUUCAUAAAACCCGUAAACCAAAGAAACUUACAGCAAAGUAAUACCUACUUGUGUAGUGUUCAAUGGUGCUUGAGGAAGGAUCUUCCAUGUCCUAAAGACGCUGAACGUAAGUGGAAAAUUCCAACUUUCACAUAUACACACCUCAAGAUUCAAACUUUUCUAAGGAAAAAAAAAAAAACUGAAUAAGUUUCUCGCAGAUUCUUCCUUGUUCAUCAACUGUGGAGGAAACAAACUCAAGGUUGGUAAACACAUGUAUGCAGAUGACUUAAACAAGAGAGGAUCGUCAACGUUCUCUUCUGACUCUGAAAGAUGGGGAUACAGUAGUUCUGGAGCUUGGUUAGGCAAGGCAGAUGCCCCCUCCUUAGCAACAGACACAUUUAACUUGAUCAAUGAAUCAACUCCAGAGUAUUACAAAACUGCCCGUCUUGCUUCACAAUCACUCAAGUACUAUGGACUCUGCAUGAUAAGUGGAAGUUACAAAGUGCAGCUCCAUUUUGCAGAGAUUACGUUCUCAAAUGACCAGACUUUUAAUAGCUUAGGACGGCGAAUAUUCGACAUUUAUGUCCAAGUAAGCUUUGCAGAACAAAUAAGAAAGUUUCAGUUUUCUUCGACCAGUAUGUUAGUUUGAUAUUCUUAUUAUCUUGUGCAGGGGGAUUUGUUGGAGAGGGACUUUAACAUAGCAGAGAGGGCAGGUGGAGUUGGUAAACCGUUCAUAAGGCAAAUUGAUGAUGUUCAGGUGAAUGGAAGUACGUUGGAGAUCCACUUGAAGUGGUUAGGGAAAGGCACAAAUGUAAUACCAACAAGAGGUGUUUACGGGCCUCUCAUUUCCGCCAUAACCAUUACACCAAGUGCGUUUUGUUUUCUUUCCAAUCUUUCUCAACUGUUUAAAAUAAUUUUGGAGUGAGUAAAUGAAUGAAUGUUCUUUCUCUAUUUUAUUGCUUGCUGUUUGUAGAUUUCGAGGUUGAUACUGGAAAAGAAUUACCCAAGGGAGCACUUGGAGGCAUUAUAAUUGCAGCGAGUGCGGUUUUCGGGUUGCUGGUAUUUCUAAUCCUCAGGCUUACAGGUUACUUAGGUGUAAAAGAGGUGGAUGAAAAUGGUAAGAAAGAAAACAUCAUUCUAUUGUUCAAGAAAUGUUUCAAGAUCUGAUUGUUUCUUUCGAAUCUUACCUUUUUGUUAUAUAAGAGGAGCUUCGGGGACUUGAUUUGCAGACAGGAUCGUUCACAUUGAAACAAAUCAAACGUGCCACUAAUAACUUUGAUCCAGAAAACAAGAUUGGUGAAGGAGGUUUUGGACCUGUUUAUAAGGUGAUGCAUGAUUGCUUUUGUUUUAAAACCUUCCAUGUUCUUUAAGUUUGAUUAUCUUAUUAAUAGGUUUUGGUUAUUAGGGUGUUCUCGCUGAUGGAAUGACCAUCGCGGUGAAGCAGCUUUCAUCAAAAUCUAAGCAAGGAAACAGAGAGUUCGUGACUGAGAUCGGGAUGAUCUCUGCGUUGCAACACCCAAAUCUUGUAAAACUAUAUGGUUGUUGCAUUGAAGGGAAAGAGCUUUUGCUUGUGUACGAGUACUUAGAGAACAAUAGUCUCGCUCGCGCACUCUUUGGUUAGUUUCUUUAUCUAUAUGAGAAAGACAAGUUCUUGAUCUUUAAGCUAAAGUCUCUUGUGGGUUAUUUUAACAGGUACAGAGAAACAGAAACUUCACUUGGAUUGGCCAACAAGGAACAAGAUAUGCAUAGGUAUUGCAAAAGGAUUGGCUUAUCUACACGAGGAAUCAAGGCUGAAGAUUGUUCAUAGAGACAUAAAAGCGACGAAUGUGCUUCUUGAUCUGUCUCUGAAUGCUAAGAUCUCUGAUUUUGGUCUAGCUAAACUCGACGAGGAAGAGAAUACACAUAUCAGCACAAGGAUUGCAGGAACAAUGUGAGUGUUCAUUGCUUUUCUUUUCUAAAAUUCAUAGCGACCGGUUAACACUUACAGACUAUAUAUCAUUGCUGCAGAGGUUACAUGGCUCCUGAGUAUGCAAUGAGAGGUUACUUAACAGACAAAGCAGAUGUUUACAGCUUCGGUGUUGUCUGUUUAGAGAUUGUUAGCGGGAAGAGCAACACAAAUUACAGACCAAAAGAAGAGUUUAUUUACCUUCUUGAUUGGGCAUAUGUCUUGCAAGAACAAGGGAGUCUCCUAGAACUCGUGGAUCCAGAUCUCGG
rnacentral:lncRNA from 1 species